UGCAAGUCGAGCGGACCGACGGGAGCUUGCUCCCUUAGGUCAGCGGCGGACGGGUGAGUAACACGUGGGUAACCUGCCUGUAAGACUGGGAUAACUCCGGGAAACCGGGGCUAAUACCGGAUGCUUGAUUGAGCCGCAUGGCUCAAUUAUAAAAGGUGGCUUUCAGCUACCACUUACAGAUGGACCCGCGGCGCAUUAGCUAGUUGGUGAGGUAACGGCUCACCAAGGCGACGAUGCGUAGCCGACCUGAGAGGGUGAUCGGCCACACUGGGACUGAGACACGGCCCAGACUCCUACGGGAGGCAGCAGUAGGGAAUCUUCCGCAAUGGACGAAAGUCUGACGGAGCAACGCCGCGUGAGUGAUGAAGGUUUUCGGAUCGUAAAACUCUGUUGUUAGGGAAGAACAAGUACCGUUCGAAUAGGGCGGCACCUUGACGGUACCUAACCAGAAAGCCACGGCUAACUACGUGCCAGCAGCCGCGGGUAAUACGUAGGUGGCAAGCGUUGUCCGGAAUUAUUGGGCGUAAAGCGCGCGCAGGCGGUUUCUUAAAGUCUGAUGUGAAAGCCCCCGGCUCAACCGGGGAGGGUCAUUGGAAACUGGGGAACUUGAGUGCAGAAGAGGAGAGUGGAAUUCCACGUGUAGCGGUGAAAUGCGUAGAGAUGUGGAGGAACACCAGUGGCGAAGGC
rnacentral:rRNA from 1 species